AAAUUGAAGAGUUUGAUCAUGGCUCAGAUUGAACGCUGGCGGCAGGCCUAACACAUGCAAGUCGAACGGUAACAGGAAACAGCUUGCUGUUUCGCUGACGAGUGGCGGACGGGUGAGUAAUGUCUGGGAAACUGCCUGAUGGAGGGGGAUAACUACUGGAAACGGUAGCUAAUACCGCAUAACGUCGCAAGACCAAAGAGGGGGACCUUCUGGCCUCUUGCCAUCGGAUGUGCCCAGAUGGGAUUAGCUAGUAGGUGGGGUAACGGCUCACCUAGGCGACGAUCCCUAGCUGGUCUGAGAGGAUGAACAGUCACACUGGAACUGAGACACGGUCCAGACUCCUACGGGAGGCAGCAGUGGGGAAUAUUGCACAAUGGGCGCAAGCCUGAUGCAGCCAUGCCGCGUGUAUGAAGAAGGCCUUCGGGUUGUAAAGUACUUUCAGCGGGGAGGAAGGGAGUAAAGUUAAUACCUUUGCUCAUUGACGUUACCCGCAGAAGAAGCACCGGCUAACUCCGUGCCAGCAGCCGCGGUAAUACGGAGGGUGCAAGCGUUAAUCGGAAUUACUGGGCGUAAAGCGCACGCAGGCGGUUUGUUAAGUCAGAUGUGAAAUCCCCGGGCUCAACCUGGGAACUGCAUCUGAUACUGGCAAGCUUGAGUCUCGUAGAGGGGGGUAGAAUUCCAGGUGUAGCGGUGAAAUGCGUAGAGAUCUGGAGGAAUACCGGUGGCGAAGGCGGCCCCCUGGACGAAGACUGACGCUCAGGUG
rnacentral:rRNA from 1 species